AAAAAAAACAAACCCUAAUUUCCGUGCCAACAUUUGACUGUCCAUCUUAUAUGAAAUUUUUUUAUAAUUAGUAUUUUCAUUAUUGUUAGAUGUUAAAACAUAAUUAAUACUUUAUGCGUGACUUAUCUUUUUAAUUUUUAUCACAAUUUUUUCAAAUAAGACGGACGGUCAAAUGUUGGACACGAAAAUAGGGUU
rfam:Oryza nivara chromosome 3, whole genome shotgun sequence.